rnacentral:rRNA from 1 species
AUUGAACGCUGGCGGCAUGCCUUACACAUGCAAGUCGAACGGCAGCACGGGUGCUUGCACCUGGUGGCGAGUGGCGAACGGGUGAGUAAUAUAUCGGAACGUACCUUAUUGUGGGGGAUAACGCAGCGAAAGCUGUGCUAAUACCGCAUAAUCCCUAAGGGGGAAAGCGGGGGACCGUAAGGCCCCGCGCAAUUAGAGCGGCCGAUACCUGAUUAGCUAGUUGGUGAGGUAAAGGCUCACCAAGGCAACGAUCAGUAGCUGGUCUGAGAGGACGCUCAGCCACACUGGGACUGAGACACGGCCCAGACUCCUACGGGAGGCAGCAGUGGGGAAUUUUGGACAAUGGGGGCAACCCUGAUCCAGCAAUGCCGCGUGAGUGAAGAAGGCCUUCGGGUUGUAAAGCUCUUUUGUCAGGGAAGAGACAGCAGCUCUAACACAGUUUGCGAAUGACGGUACCUGAAGAAUAAGCACCGGCUAACUACGUGCCAGCAGCCGCGGUAA